UACGUAGGGACCAAGCGUUGUUCGGAUUUACUGGGCGUAAAGAGCUCGUAGGCGGCUUGUCGCGUCGACUGUGAAAUCCCGCGGCUCAACUGCGGGUCUGCAGUCGAUACGGGGCAGGCUAGAGUUCGGUAGGGGAGACUGGAAUUCCUGGUGUAGCGGUGAAAUGCGUAGAUAUCGAGAGGAACACCUGAGGUGAAGACGGGUUGCUGGGCUGACACUGACGCUGAUGCGCGAAAGCCAGGGUAGCAAACGGG
rnacentral:rRNA from 1 species